rnacentral:snRNA from 1 species
AUAAUGAAAAGGAGGGGUAUGAAGGGGGCAAAUAGGAAGGUGUAUGACAUACUUACCUAGGAAGGCCACCGCCAUUGCACUUGGGAGGGGGGUCUACCUAGCAUCUCCCACUGAGGAGAGAGUGAACGUCAUAAUUUGUGGCAGUGGAGGCUCGCGUUUGCGCGGCCUCCAC